AGAUUGAACGCUGGCGGCAGGCCUAACACAUGCAAGUCGAGCGGCAGCACGGGUACUUGUACCUGGUGGCGAGCGGCGGACGGGUGAGUAAUGCCUAGGAAUCUGCCUGGUAGUGGGGGAUAACGCUCGGAAACGGACGCUAAUACCGCAUACGUCCUACGGGAGAAAGCAGGGGACCUUCGGGCCUUGCGCUAUCAGAUGAGCCUAGGUCGGAUUAGCUAGUUGGUGAGGUAAUGGCUCACCAAGGCGACGAUCCGUAACUGGUCUGAGAGGAUGAUCAGUCACACUGGAACUGAGACACGGUCCAGACUCCUACGGGAGGCAGCGAGUGGGGAAUAUUGGACAAGUGGGACGAAAGCCUAGAUCCAGCCAUGCCGCGUGUGUGAAGAGGUACUUCGGAUUU
rnacentral:rRNA from 1 species